rnacentral:lncRNA from 1 species
CAGUAUGUCGAUUCUGUAGAUCUCGAACAAUAACUCGCUUAUCACUUCGACGCUCACUUACACUUCGCAUUCGAUCUCACCUGACCUUGAUUUGGUAUUCUGUAAACAUCACUAGCUCACUUGCGAAGUGAAGUGAGCUUCGAUAUAUCUUUCGAGUUACUAGUGAUUGGCGCUUAAUGAGAAGAUACCAAUCGUGGUUUGGUGCAUAGAUUGUGGUGUUUUGGCUGCGUGUGGACAUAUUUUGAAACGGGAUAAUGAAUGUAAGCAAGCGCUCAUCCCAUCUGUCCUUUGCCCUAAUAGAAGCAAUGAUUGACUUCCUGGAGAGAAACCCAGAUCUGGCAAAGGGUUUUUCAAAAACUCAAUAUGCCAGAGAGUGGAGCACUAGGAAAUUUUGUCAUAGCGGCUCAAUAAUACGGGUGGGACGAUUAAAACAUACAAGCAGUGGACCAAACAAUCAGACCCAAUACAAUUGGUUCCCCAGCCUCCCUCUUUAAUACAAAGCAGUGGACAUUCAGAAAUUUCAGUGAGUUGAAGAGCAGCAGUUAGAAAUUCGGCGGCCCAAUGCACCGGUCAAGGCGAGCAUGAUGAAGCACAGCAUUGAGAGAGACGGAAUUGCCGCUAACGCUGUGGCGGCAGUGGAGGAAGAAUUAAAUGCGC